CGUUUAGGGGUAAACCUGAGAAACCCGAAAGGUCGAAGGAAGAAAUUCAAUCGUGUCCGAUAAGGUUAUUGUGCGGUGCUGGUGUCGCUGAAUGGAUUCGUUCAUUUGUCGCCCUACUGUAUGAUAUAUGUACCUUGUUGAACGCGUGCACUUUUCUUCUGGUAGGACGUCGCGAUCCGUUGAGUGUUGAUUUACGGUUUGAAUGGUAGCCUGUCAAUGGAGAGUUCUUUUGGGUUCUUUUUGAUAGACCUUUGAUACCCGAUCAACUGGCUCGACGGUAUAUAUAACGGUUCUAGGCCGCUAAUUUAAAAGCGUUCGGCUUGUGGCAAGCAUGUCAAAUGUUUCGGUACAUCGGACCUAGUGCCGUGUCUGAUCCUUGACUACUGUUGGCCACUUUGUCUCGAACAGACCUAUGAACCGAUCUGCGACGAUAUAGCUUUGGGUAAUUUCAGGACCCGUCUUGAAACACGGACCAAGGAGUCUAGCAUGUACGCAAGUCAUUGGGAAUCACAAAACCUAAAGGCGUAAUGAAAGUAAACGUUUUCCUUUACGGUUAACGAUGGGAAGACGGGCGGUUUAAACUUUAUAGUUUACGUUCUGCAUUCCCGGGGCGUCUCAUUCUCAUUACGAGAGGAGGCGCACCAUGAGCGUACACGCUGGGACCCGAAAGAUGGUGAACUAU
rnacentral:rRNA from 1 species